UACGUAGGGUGCGAGCGUUAAUCGGAAUUACUGGGCGUAAAGCGUGCGCAGGCGGUUUUGUAAGCCGGAUGUGAAAUCCCCGGGCUUAACCUGGGAAUGGCAUUCGGGACUGCAAGGCUGGAGUGCGGCAGAGGAGACUGGAAUUCCUGGUGUAGCAGUGAAAUGCGUAGAUAUCAGGAGGAACACCUGUGGCGAAAGCGGCGCACUGGACCACUUCUGACGCUGAGGCGCGAAAGCUAGGGGAGCAAACAGG
rnacentral:rRNA from 1 species